UCAACGGAGAGUUUGAUCCUGGCUCAGGACGAACGCUGGCGGCGUGCUUAACACAUGCAAGUCGAACGAUGAAGCCCAGCUUGCUGGGUGGAUUAGUGGCGAACGGGUGAGUAACACGUGGGUGAUCUGCCCUGCACUCUGGGAUAAGCCUGGGAAACUGGGUCUAAUACCGGAUAUGACCUCUUGCUGCAUGGCGAGGGGUGGAAAGUUUUUCGGUGCAGGAUGAGCCCGCGGCCUAUCAGCUUGUUGGUGGGGUAAUGGCCUACCAAGGCGACGACGGGUAGCCGGCCUGAGAGGGCGACCGGCCACACUGGGACUGAGACACGGCCCAGACUCCUACGGGAGGCAGCAGUGGGGAAUAUUGCACAAUGGGCGCAAGCCUGAUGCAGCGACGCCGCGUGAGGGAUGACGGCCUUCGGGUUGUAAACCUCUUUCAGCAGGGACGAAGCGAAAGUGACGGUACCUGCAGAAGAAGCACCGGCCAACUA
rnacentral:rRNA from 1 species